rnacentral:tRNA from 1 species
AGGCGAUUAGCUCAGUUGGUAGAGCACCUCCUUUACACGGAGGUGGUCGAUGGUUCGAAUCCGUCAUCGCCUAUCA